rnacentral:rRNA from 1 species
CCUACGGGAGACAGCAGUGGGGAAUAUUGCACAAUGGGGGAAAGUCUGAACCAGCGAAGCAGCGUGAGCGAUGACUGCUCUCGGUGUGUUAAGCUUUAUCUGUAGGGGAGUAAAUGAUGGUACGUGACGAAGUUGCUAUGGCUAACUACGUGCCAGCAGCCGCGGUAAUACGUAGGGUGCAAGCGUUAUCCGGAUUUACUGGGUGUAAAGGGAGCGUAGACGGUCCUGCAAGUCAGAUGUGAAAGUGCGGGGCUCAACCGCAAGACUGCAGUUGAAACUGUAAGGCUUGAGUGCCGUAGAGGCAGGCGGAAUUCGUGGUGUAGCGGUGAAAUGCGUAGAUAUUAGGAAGAACACCAGUUGCGAAGGCAG